AUUUGUAAAGAGCACAUCAGUCAGCUCGGGAUUAGCUGUUUACGGUCACUGGACUCGCUGCUCGGGAUGGAGAUGAAGAUCACCAAAUAAAGGCUUAGAUUUGGGUCUGUUUCUCGCAGUCCAUGGAUUCAGAAGAUUUGGAAUACAGCGCAUUUGAAACUUCCUGAAUCACAAAAUGAAUUUUGCAACAGUAUUAAUGUGAUUGAAGACUCCAGGCCUUCAAAAGAGGUGCAAAGCCUGCCGCUACAAAUAAAAGUUGCAAUGCA
ensembl:lncRNA